AUGACGAAGACGAUGCCAUGUGACUCUUCAGCGAGUGGAGCAUUGGUGCUGAGCUACUCGGCAGCUAUGGCGGUGGCCGCGACGGCAGCGAUGACGGCGGAAGUGGGGAAGCAUCCAUUCCUGCUGCUCACGGGGACGAACUACGUGGACCGGGUGAUGAGGAUGAAAUACCUCUUGCGAGCCAAUGGCGCAUGGGCUGCCUCGUGCGGCAUCAUCCGCGGAGGUCGACAAGGGCAAAGAGGAGAUUGCCAUGACGAUCAUCUCCCAGCGGCGCUACGCUCCAUGCACGUGGGCAUCGAGCGCGUCCGAGAGGCAAGGAUUCAGUCCUUGCAAUCAGAGUUUCAUGGCUUCAAGAAGGGGGAUGUGGAGUCUGUGGAUGAUUUCGCGACGAGGUUCAUGACGCUCAUGGGGUGCAUCCAUGAGCUUGGUGAUCUGACGGAGGAGAAGUACGUCGUCAAGAAGGACACAACUCGUCGCAAGGACGGGGUCGUGGUCGUGGAGAAGGUGAAGGGCGCAGCGACAAAAAGGAGGUACAAUGUUACAAUUGUCGUGAACUUGAUCACGUUGCUUGGGAGUGUCCAGAGAAGAAGGAGAAGGAGGAGAAGGCACUGCUGGUCGGCUACGGCAACGACGGACCGGCCCUCCUUUGAAAGAUACGGGCAUACACCUUAUGAUUUCAGUGUGAAGAGCAUGCAUGGAGAGAUUCCAACGUGUGGUGAGAAGCUGCUCCAUGCAUGGAUCUGA
rnacentral:rRNA from 1 species